rnacentral:rRNA from 1 species
UACGGAGGAUGCAAGCGUUAUCCGGAAUGAUUGGGCGUAAAGCGUCCGCAGGUGGCUGUGUAAGUCUGCUGUUAAAUAGUGAGGCUCAACCUCAUAAAGGCAGUGGAAACUACACGGCUAGAGUGCGUUCGGGGCAGAGGGAAUUCCUGGUGUAGCGGUGAAAUGCGUAGAGAUCCGGAAGAACACCGGUGGCGAAGGCGGUCUGCUGGGCAGUUGCUGACACUGAGGCGCGACAGCGUGGGGAGCAAACAGG